GACGAACGCUGGCGGCGUGCUUAACACAUGCAAGUCGAACGGAAAGGCCCUGCUUUUGUGGGGUGCUCGAGUGGCGAACGGGUGAGUAACACGUGAGUAACCUGCCCUUGACUUUGGGAUAACUUCAGGAAACUGGGGCUAAUACCGGAUAGGAGCUCCUGCUGCAUGGUGGGGGUUGGAAAGUUUCGGCGGUUGGGGAUGGACUCGCGGCUUAUCAGCUUGUUGGUGGGGUAGUGGCUUACCAAGGCUUUGACGGAUAGCCGGCCUGAGAGGGUGACCGGCCACAUUGGGACUGAGAUACGGCCCAGACUCCUACGGGAGGCAGCAGUGGGGAAUAUUGCACAAUGGGCGGAAGCCUAAUGCAGCAACGCCGCGUGCGGGAUGACGGCCUUCGGGUUGUAAACCGCUUUCGCCUGUGACGAAGCGUGAGUGACGGUAAUGGGUAAAGAAGCACCGGCUAACUACGUG
rnacentral:rRNA from 1 species